rnacentral:lncRNA from 1 species
GCACAUGCGCAGAAUCAUCGUGGUGCACGGCUCUCCCUUUGCUUCUUCGGUUGCAGUCCUCUUGCUUCUUGCGCGUGCGUGUAGCGCUUUUGCAAAGCCGCGGAGGUGAAGUGAACUUAGAGGUUGUGGGGCCGAGGGGUCGUCUUAUAGCUACCAGCCCACAGGCAUUUAGUCUACGUUGGAGGUAAACAAAUACGGGUCCUGCUUAGGAGAAAAGAAAAACGUCUUACAGCCAGUGUCUAAACUCCAAACAACGGAAUGUAUCAAUGAGACCUUGUAUAUGGAUACACGUGCAUUUAAAACCGCCCUGCCGGCUUGUAGAGCUUUUGCCGUUCUCCAGCGCUUUACAGGGGUUAUCGCACUUAAGCCUCGGAACAACUUUACCAGAUGAGGACACCUGAGGUUCAGAUUAAGAAAUCUGCCCCAAAGUCUUAGAACUGGUAUUCUCCACUGGUUGAAUGCAAAUGGAAGCCAGAGGAAAAGGGAACCCUUGACACAGUUUUCAUAUAGAUUGGCCUCCAGGGCAGACAGCAGUUGCUCUGGCUAUAUCAAAUAAAAGUGUCAAGAGUGAGCAUCCUUGCCUUGUGCUGAAUCACAAAGGAAUACCUUUCAGUUUUUCUCCAUUGAUUAUGAUAGCAGUGGGCUUUUCACAGUGGGCUUUACUGUGUUGAGGUACCCUAAUGACAAGUUCACCCCAGUGUUUUCUGAGGAGUCUACCUGGAAAUGAGAACCAUCUGUCCUUCCUAUAGUAGUUCUUCUCAGAAUGCCGACUCUAUGCUAAUGGAGGAGGUCUGAUGGCCGGGAGGACAGGAAGAAGGAACCCACAAUGAAGCAAAAGUUGCGUUUAACUCUGUCCUCACCAUUCCUCUCCUGGACCUGUCCUAAACUGGAAGCUGGGGGAGGAUGGAGUGCUGGAAUGCUGCAGAAGUCUCAUGGGAGGGCGCCUGGUGUUCACCACAUGUGUACACUGUUGCACGACCAG